rnacentral:piRNA from 1 species
UGAGAGGUCUCAGUUAAGUGUGUUUAGA